CAGCAGCCGCGGUAAUACGUAGGGUGCAAGCGUUGUCCGGAAUUAUUGGGCGUAAAGAGCUCGUAGGCGGUCUGUCGCGUCGGCUGUGAAAACCUGGGGCUUAACUCCGGGCCUGCAGCCGAUACGGUCAGACUAGAGUUCGGCAGGGGAGACUGGAAUUCCUGGUGUAGCGGUGAAAUGCGCAGAUAUCAGGAGGAACACCGGUGGCGAAGGCGGGUCUCUGGGCCGAUACUGACGCUGAGGAGCGAAAGCGUGGGGAGCAAACAGGAUUAGAUACCCUGGUAGUCCACGCUCGUAAACGUUGGGCGCUAGGUGUGGGUCUCAUUCCACGAGGUCCGUGCCGCAGCUAACGCAUUAAGCGCCCCGCCUGGGGAGUACGGCCGCAAGGCUAAAACUCAAAUAAAUUGACGG
rnacentral:rRNA from 1 species